AUUGAACGCUGGCGGCAGGCCUAACACAUGCAAGUCGAGCGGUAGAGAGGUGCUUGCAUCUCUUGAGAGCGGCGGACGGGUGAGUAAUGCCUAGGAAUCUGCCUAGUGGUGGGGGAUAACGUUCGGAAACGGACGCUAAUACCGCAUACGUCCUACGGGAGAAAGCGGGGGAUCUUCGGACCUCGCGCCAUUAGAUGAGCCUAGGUCGGAUUAGCUAGUUGGUGAGGUAAUGGCUCACCAAGGCGACGAUCCGUAACUGGUCUGAGAGGAUGAUCAGUCACACUGGAACUGAGACACGGUCCAGACUCCUACGGGAGGCAGCAGUGGGGAAUAUUGGACAAUGGGCGCAAGCCUGAUCCAGCCAUGCCGCGUGUGUGAAGAAGGCC
rnacentral:rRNA from 1 species